AUUAUCUUCCCGCCAUGUGUAUGUGGUAACAAAAGCUUCGAUUACUCUAUCCUCUCUCUCUCUCUCUAAUGGCGUCUUCUUCUCUACCUCUGUCUCUUCCGUUUCCACUCCGAUCUCGUAGUAGUCCCACUCGAUCUCUUCCAUUUCGAUGUUCUCCUCUCUUUUUCCCUCUUCCUUCUUCAAUCGUUUGCUUCUCCACUCAAAACCCCUCCGGUUACGACCGCGAAGAAGUCCGGUGGCUCCGGGAAGAGCAGAGAUGGAUUCGCGAGGAGCAACGAUGGCUUCGUGAAGAACAGAGAUGGAUACGCGAGCGUGAAUCACUUCUACAAGAGAUUUCGAAUCUCCAGCUCAAAAUUCAAGCCCUAGAGUCACGAAAUUCGCAAUUGGGGACUUCUGUUCCCGAUACGAUUUCGAAUAUCGCUGCGUUGCUUCAGGGUUUGAAGGAGAAGAAUCGGAUUUCUGAGAGUGGAUUGAGCGCAACGCCGAUGGUAUUGGAGAGUACGAGAGAACAAAUUGUUGAGGAGGUAGUGGAAGUGGAAGAAGAAGAGAAGCGAGUGGUUAUUGCUGAAGAGAAAGUUAUGGUUUCGGAGCCGGUGAAGAAGAAGAAGAAGAGACGGACAUUGAAAGUUGGAAGCGAAGGCGACGAUGUUCAAGCUUUGCAGGAAGCUUUGUUGAAAUUAGGAUUCUAUUCGGGCGAAGAGGACAUGGAGUUUUCGAGCUUUUCAAGUGGGACUGCAAGUGCUGUUAAGACUUGGCAAGCAUCGCUUGGCGUCCGUGAGGAUGGGAUAAUGACAGCAGAGCUUCUUCAGAGGUUGUUCAUGGAUGAAGACGUAGAGACAGAUAAGGAUGAAGCAAGUACAAUGAAGAAAGAGGAAGCUAGUAAUGGGUCGGUAUUUAGUUCAGUGACACAAGUCCCUGAGAAGAAGCAAUCAAUCAUAAAAGAUCAAAGUAACAGAGAAGAUGACGUUACUCAAAAUCGCGUUUAUCUUCUUGGAGAAAACAGAUGGGAAGAUCCUUCCAGGCUCAUUGGCAGGAACAAACCGGUAGACAGUAGUAAAUCCACAAUCACCAAAACGAGGUGCAUCACUUGUCGAGGGGAGGGUCGAUUGAUGUGCCUAGAGUGCGAUGGAACCGGUGAGCCAAACAUUGAGCCGCAGUUUAUGGAGUGGGUUGGUGAAGAUAAGAAGUGUCCGUACUGUGAAGGUCUUGGCUAUACAGUUUGCGAUGUCUGCGACGGAAAAAAAAACUUAUAAUCAAGCUUGAUAUAUCUGUCUUCGUCGACAUCAAGGAUUUUGACGAAGUUAGGUCGACGCAGGCAGAGAGAGGAGCUCGAAGGGACACAGAAAGCUUCAGAAUUUGUGAGGAAUACCUUUGACGAUCUCUGCUGUCUUCCUGUACAACUUAACAAUGAAAGUUUCACUGGUGGUUAUUGACUCCACCAAGUGUUCGCUUGUG